AGCCCACCAGUUCAGUUUAGUUCCAGCUGCCUAAGUGGAUACAUACUGUAUCUGCAUUUUUCAGAGAUGGCAUCAAGAGGCUGCAAGCAUCCAGCAGACGCAUUUUGCUAUGUCUGCGGCCAAUUUAUGAAGACAAGAGCGAAAAAGUACUCUGUGGAAACAUCUGCUAAGAUGUGAGAGGCCUACAAGGCAUUCGGCAUGCCUGGCGGGGAUCAAGACAAACCCUGGGCACCUCAUUUCUCCUGCGAGCAAUAUAAAACAACUCUGGAAGACUGUCACCAUCUGACACUUUCUUAGCUCGAUUAAUGAAUGUCUUGAUAAGAGCAGAUUUCUGUGCGUGGUGAUGGUGUGACUGCAUUCAGAUAGGCAGGGAACAAGAGGGCCAUGAGGUUCGCUAUCCCAAGAAUUUGGCGGGAACCCACUGACCAGUCAAGCAACUGCUACAUCUGCAUGGUGGACCGUUACAAACGUCGGACUGGCAAUAAUGCACCUGCUAUCACGUAUCUGGAUCUUCCUACAUCCAUCGCCCCGGUGCCACACUGCCAUGAGCUCCCCGUACCACUCCUCUGGAGAGAGAGCAGCCGUCUUUAGAAGAGAGCAGUAAGUCAGAGAGCGCGGAAGAUGUUGAUCCAUAUGACAAUUUCAGACGUGGAGCUGAGGAGAGAAACCCAUACUACCCCAACCAAAACGACCUCAACGACUUGAUCAGAAAUCUUGGUCUCACCAAGUCCAAUGCUGAGCUUUUGAUAUCUAGACUUAAGCAGGAACUUGUUGGAUGAAAGUGUGCAAGUCGCAGAUCAGAGGAAGUGUCACCAACUUUUUUGCAGCUUCUUCACCCGUCAAGAUGGGCUCUGCUUCUGCCACAAUGUGACCAGUUUGUUCGAGGCAAUCGGGAUCGCCUGUAACCAGAAUGAGUGGCGCCUCUUCAUUGACAAAUCAUCCAGGAGCCUCAAAGCCGUGCUGCUGCAUAAUGAAAACAAGUACCCGUCUCUUCCCCUGGCUUACUCGGUGCACCUCAUAAAAGGAUUACAACAGCAUCAAGACCUUGCUGGACACCUUGAAGUAUGAGUACGUCUGGGAGGUCAUCGGAGACUUCUAAAUGGUGGCAUUCCUGAUGGGUCUCCAAGGCGGUUUUACCAAGUUACCCAGCUAUUUUUGCCUUUUGGGCAGCAGGGACACCAAGGCGCACUACCACAGGCGGGACUGGCCACAUCGGACCGAAAACUAUGUUGAGCUGGUUGAGACUCUGGUGAAGAACUACGGCACAAUGGGCUGUAGGAUGUCCCUCAAAGUCCAUAUCCUUGAUGCUUAUCUUGAUACAUUCAUGGAGAACAUGGGAGCGUACUCGGAGGAGCAAGGCGAGCGCUUCCACCAGGAUAUACUAGACUUUGAACGCCGCUACCAAGGACAGUAUAACGAGAACAUGAUGGGAGACUGCAUUUGGGGGCUGAUUCGUAAAAGUGAUUUACAGAAUAAUCGUAAAUCGCUAAAAACUACUCGCUUCUAAAUAUUUUGUAGUCAUUUUUGUAUUACUUUAGUAUAAAUAGAUCUUAAUUUUGAUUCAUGU